AGCUAUAUAUAGUAGAGUACGUGUGGUGUGUAGCCAAGCUCAAGCUCAUUCCCAGAUUAAGGGCAUCUCCAACGCUUGUAGGUGCGUUGACGAGCACCUACGCGACGGUUAGUUGCCUUCACGAGAAGCCAAUUUUGUGUAUCCUGCUCGCCCAUACAUCUCAUGAGUGAAGAAUGAAAUGCAGAAAAACAAUAGAUUUAUUCAAAGUCUUCCCAAGAAUCUAAUAGAAUACACCAAAUCGAUCUCUGAGUAUCUCAGCUCACUACGUGUUCAAAGUUAAUUUACAGAAAUACAUGUAUAUAAAACACUCUUCUAAAAAAUAAAAAGAAAAAAAAAUCUUGCACGGUACACCAAAACUUCACAGUAGCGAUGAGGUCAACUUUUUCGACAAAGCGUGAAUUUUAUUGGCACAUAAUGAAGCAUCUAGAUGAUACAGAACAAAAUGAGCAUACACCCGGUCUCUGCGUAGUUAGGAUGCACACACAGAAACUCCGGCAAAUAGCAAAGUCAUAUAAAACUAAAGUUAUCCGUCGGCGAGGAAAAAAAACCGAAGCGAUUAGAUCUGCAAUCGGCAAACUACUAUAACACCAUAUCUAAAUCAA